rnacentral:rRNA from 1 species
CAUAUUCAAUAAGCGGAGGA